GUGAAUCAUCGAAUUUUUGAACGCAAAUUGCACUCUCCUCGGAGAGGAUGACUGUUUGAGUGUGAUCCUAUAAAAACUCGACAUAGUUGCUGUUUCGCGGUGGCGUUCGUCGGAAAUUGGGUCAUCUUAAAUCUUUUGGUUGUAAGCGACUUAAAAUUUUCGUUUUGGUUCCAUGAACGUUUCUAAGAUUUAUUUCUUUACACGUUUAAGCUAUCGAUUUUUAUUGGACGUGACCAUCAUGUCGGAUCGCUUUCAUA
rnacentral:misc_RNA from 1 species